rnacentral:rRNA from 1 species
GAUGAACGCUGGCGGCGUGCCUAAUACAUGCAAGUCGAGCGAACGGACGAGAAGCUUGCUUCUCUGAUGUUAGCGGCGGACGGGUGAGUAACACGUGGAUAACCUACCUAUAAGACUGGGAUAACUUCGGGAAACCGGAGCUAAUACCGGAUAAUAUUUUGAACCGCAUGGUUCAAAAGUGAAAGACGGUCUUGCUGUCACUUAUAGAUGGAUCCGCGCUGCAUUAGCUAGUUGGUAAGGUAACGGCUUACCAAGGCAACGAUGCAUAGCCGACCUGAGAGGGUGAUCGGCCACACUGGAACUGAGACACGGUCCAGACUCCUACGGGAGGCAGCAGUAGGGAAUCUUCCGCAAUGGGCGAAAGCCUGACGGAGCAACGCCGCGUGAGUGACGAAGGUCUUCGGAUCGUAAAACUCUGUUAUUAGGGAAGAACAUAUGUGUAAGUAACUGUGCACAUCUUGACGGUACCUAAUCAGAAAGCCACGGCUAACUACGUGUCAGCAGCCGCGGUAAUACGUAGGUGGCAAGCGUUAUCCGGAAUUAUUGGGCGUAAAGCGCGCGUAGGCGGUUUUUUAAGUCUGAUGUGAAAGCCCACGGCUCAACCGUGGAGGGUCAUUGGAAACUGGAAAACUUGAGUGCAGAAGAGGAAAGUGGAAUUCCAUGUGUAGCGGUGAAAUGCGCAGAGAUAUGGAGGAAUACCAGUGGCGAAGGCGACUUUCUGGUCUGUAACUGACGCUGAUGUGCGAAAGCGUGGGGAUCAAACAGGAUUAGAUACCCUGGUAGUCCACGCCGUAAACGAUGAGUGCUAAGUGUUAGGGGGUUUCCGCCCCUUAGUGCUGCAGCUAACGCAUUAAGCACUCCGCCUGGGGAGUACGACCGCAAGGUUGAAACUCAAAGGAAUUGACGGGGACCCGCACAAGCGGUGGAGCAUGUGGUUUAAUUCGAAGCAACGCGAAGAACCUUACCAAAUCUUGACAUCCUUUGACAACUCUAGAGAUAGAGCCUUCCCCUUCGGGGGACAAAGUGACAGGUGGUGCAUGGUUGUCGUCAGCUCGUGUCGUGAGAUGUUGGGUUAAGUCCCGCAACGAGCGCAACCCUUAAGCUUAGUUGCCAUCAUUAAGUUGGGCACUCUAAGUUGACUGCCGGUGACAAACCGGAGGAAGGUGGGGAUGACGUCAAAUCAUCAUGCCCCUUAUGAUUUGGGCUACACACGUGCUACAAUGGACAAUACAAAGGGCAGCGAAACCGCGAGGUCAAGCAAAUCCCAUAAAGUUGUUCUCAGUUCGGAUUGUAGUCUGCAACUCGACUACAUGAAGCUGGAAUCGCUAGUAAUCGUAGAUCAGCAUGCUACGGUGAAUACGUUCCCGGGUCU